CAAGUCGAACGAGAAAGGGUAGCAAUACCUGAGUAAAGUGGCGUACGGGUGAGUAACACGUGGAUGAUCUACCUCUUGGCGGGGAAUACCUCUGGGAAACCGGAGACAAUACCGCAUAAGCUCGAGAGAGGAAACCCGCAAGGGGCCGAGAGAGGAGUCCGCGGCCGAUUAGCUAGUUGGUAGGGUAAAGGCCUACCAAGGCGAAGAUCGGUAGCCGGCCUGAGAGGGCACACGGCCACACUGGCACUGAGACACGGGCCAGACUCCUACGGGAGGCAGCAGUGGGGAAUCUUGCACAAUGGGGGAAACCCUGAUGCAGCGACGCCGCGUGAGCGAUGAAGCCCUUCGGGGUGUAAAGCUCUUUCGACGGGAACGAUAAUGACGGUACCCGGAGAAGAAGCUGCGGCUAACUACGUGCCAGCAGCCGCGGUAAUACGUAGGCAGCAAGCGUUGUUCGGAGUUACUGGGCGUAAAGAGUGCGUAGGCGGUGCCCUAAGUCUGUUGUGAAAUCUCCCGGCUUAACUGGGAGGGUGCGGUGGAAACUGGGGUGCUUGANAGUGGGAGAGGUUAGCGGAAUUCCUGGUGUAGCGGUGAAAUGCGUAGAUAUCAGGAGGAACACCGGUGGUGUAGACGGCUGACUGGACCACGACUGACGCUGAGGCACGAAAGCGUGGGUAGCAAACAGGAUUAGAUACCCUGGUAGUCCACGCCCUAAACGAUGCAUACUUGGUGUGAGCCAUUCAUUUGGUUCGUGCCGGAGCUAACGCGUUAAGUAUGCCCGCCCUGGGGAGUACGGUCGCCAAGGCUGAAACUCAAAGGAAUUGACGGGGGCCCGCACAAGCGGUGGA
rnacentral:rRNA from 1 species